AUGUUUGCCCUCAUAAUAUCCUUACUUGUUGUAUGCAAAUUGCAACAUGAACUAUUGUACUUUCUUGAACUGAAACUUGUGCAAUGUUUGUUGAUUAGCAGUUUUGCUCAAAGGUGUUUAUUUUCUUUCUCCCACUUGAAUCAUAAUGAAGAACAUGCUGGUAGUCAAAUAUUGAAUCUUAGUUUACUCACCCUGGCAUAUUUUCUCAUUGUGAUAGAAUCCUCGCAGGUCCAAAAUUUACAAUUCCUGCCAAGUAUUACAAUCUGGCUUCAUUUAUUUGUUGUUAUGGAUCCUUUUAAUUUAGAAAUUUAA
rnacentral:rRNA from 1 species